CCCAGACUCCUACGGGAGGCAGCAGUGGGGAAUAUUGCACAAUGGGGGAAACCCUGAUGCAGCGACGCCGCGUGAGCGAGGAAGUACCUCGGUAUGUAAAGCUCUCUCAGCAGGGAAGAAAGUGACAGUACCAGACUAAGAAGCCCCGGCUAACUACGUGCCGGCAGCCGCGGUAAUACGUAGGGGGCAAGCGUUAUCCGGAUUCUCUGGGCGUAAAGGGAGCGCAGGCGGCACGGCAAGUCUGAUGUGAAAACCCAGGGCUCAACUCUGGGACUGCAUUGGAAACUGCCGGGCUGGAGUGUCGGAGGGGUAAGCGGAAUUCCUAGUGUAGCGAUGAAAUGCGUAGAUAUUAGGAGGAACACCAGUGGCGAAGGCGGCUUACUGGACGACUACUGACGCUGAGGCUCGAAAGCGUGGGGAGCAAACAGGAUUAGAUACCCGCGUAAAA
rnacentral:rRNA from 1 species